rnacentral:rRNA from 1 species
GGGGAGCGUUCUGUAAGCCGUUGAAGGUGGCCUGUGAGGGUUGCUGGAGGUAUCAGAAGUGCGAAUGCUGACAUAAGUAACGAUAAUGCGGGUGAAAAACCCGCACGCCGGAAGACCAAGGGUUCCUGUCCAACGUUAAUCGGGGCAGGGUGAGUCGACCCCUAAGGCGAGGCCGAAAGGCGUAGUCGAUGGGAAACAGGUUAAUAUUCCUGUACUUGGUGUUACUGCGAAGGGGGGACGGAGAAGGCUAUGUUGGCCGGGCGACGGUUGUCCCGGUUUAAGCAUGUAGGCGGAUGUUCCAGGUAAAUCCGGAACGUCACUAACGCUGAGGUGUGAUGACGAGGCACUACGGUGCUGAAGUGACAAAUGCCCUGCUUCCAGGAAAAGCCUCUAAGCAUCAGGUAACAUCAAAUCGUACCCCAAACCGACACAGGUGGUCAGGUAGAGAAUACCAAGGCGCUUGAGAGAACUCGGGUGAAGGAACUAGGCAAAAUGGUGCCGUAACUUCGGGAGAAGGCACGCUGAUGGUAAGUGAAGUGACUUGCUCAUGGAGCUGAAAUCAGUCGAAGAUACCAGCUGGCUGCAACUGUUUAUUAAAAACACAGCACUGUGCAAACACGAAAGUGGACGUAUACGGUGUGACGCCUGCCCGGUGCCGGAAGGUUAAUUGAUGGGGUUAUCCUCACGGAGAAGCUCUUGAUCGAAGCCCCGGUAAACGGCGGCCGUAACUAUAACGGUCCUAAGGUAGCGAAAUUCCUUGUCGGGUAAGUUCCGACCUGCACGAAUGGCGUAAUGAUGGCCAGGCUGUCUCCACCCGAGACUCAGUGAAAUUGAACUCGCUGUGAAGAUGCAGUGUACCCGCGGCAAGACGGAAAGACCCCGUGAACCUUUACUAUAGCUUGACACUGAACACUGGUCCUUGAUGUGUAGGAUAGGUGGGAGGCUUUGAAGUGUGGACGCCAGUCUGCAUGGAGCCAUCCUUGAAAUACCACCCUUUAAUGGCUGGUGUUCUAACGUGGGCCCCUAAUCGGGGUUGCGGACAGUGUCUGGUGGGUAGUUUGACUGGGGCGGUCUCCUCCUAAAGAGUAACGGAGGAGCACGAAGGUCAGCUAAUCCUGGUCGGACAUCAGGAGGUUAGUGCAAUGGCAUAAGCUGGCUUGACUGCGAGCGUGACGGCGCGAGCAGGUGCGAAAGCAGGUCAUAGUGAUCCGGUGGUUCUGAAUGGAAGGGCCAUCGCUCAACGGAUAAAAGGUACUCCGGGGAUAACAGGCUGAUACCGCCCAAGAGUUCAUAUCGACGGCGGUGUUUGGCACCUCGAUGUCGGCUCAUCACAUCCUGGGGCUGAAGUAGGUCCCAAGGGUAUGGCUGUUCGCCAUUUAAAGUGGUACGCGAGCUGGGUUUAGAACGUCGUGAGACAGUUCGGUCCCUAUCUGCCGUGGGCGCUGGAGAAUUGAGGGGGGCUGCUCCUAGUACGAGAGGACCGGAGUGGACGCAUCACUGGUGUUCGGGUUGUCAUGCCAAUGGCAUUGCCCGGUAGCUAAAUGCGGAAGAGAUAAGUGCUGAAAGCAUCUAAGCACGAAACUUGCCCCGAGAUGAGUUCUCCCUGACCCUUUAAGGGUCCUGAAGGAACGUUGAAGACGACGACGUUGAUAGGCCGGGUGUGUAAGCGCAGCGAUGCGUUGAGCUAACCGGUACUAAUGAACCGUGAGGCUUAACCUU